rnacentral:rRNA from 1 species
GGAGGGUUUGAUCCUGGCUCAGAACGAACGUUGGCGGCGUGGAUUAGGCAUGCAAGUCGAGCGCGAACGUCUCCUUCGGGAGGCUAGUAGAGCGGCGAACGGGUGAGUAGCGCGUGGGGAACCUGCCCCUGAGUUGGGGAUAACACCCCUAACGGGGUGCUAAUACCGGAUAACACGACCGGAUCACCUGGUCUGGUCGUCAAAGCUGGCCUCUACAUGUAAGCUGGCGCUUGGGGAUGGUCCCGCGUCCCAUUAGCUUGUUGGUAGGGUAACGGCCUACCAAGGCUUUGAUGGGUAGCUGGUCUGAGAGGAUGGUCAGCCACACUGGGACUGAGAUACGGCCCAGACUCCUACGGGAGGCAGCAGUCGAGAGGCUUCGUCAAUGGGGGACACCCUGAACGAGCGACGCCGCGUGGGCGAUGAAGGCCGGAAGGUCGUAAAGCCCUGUCAGAGGGGAAGAAACGCCGGGUAGUCAACAGCUGCUCGGUUUGACGUUACCCUCAGAGGAAGCUCCGGCUAACUCCGUGCCAGCAGCCGCGGUAACACGGGGGGAGCAAACGUUGUUCGGAAUCACUGGGCGUAAAGGGCGCGCAGGCGGCCUGGUAAGUGAGACGUGAAAGCCCCCGGCUUAACCGGGGAUGUGCGUCUCAUACUGUCAGGCUUGAGGGCGGGAGAGGAAACGGGAAUUCCCGGUGUAGCGGUGAAAUGCACUGAUAUCGGGAGGAACACCUGUGGCGAAGGCGCGUUUCUGGCCCGCUCCUGACGCUCAGGCGCGAAAGCUGGGGGAGCAAACAGGAUUAGAUACCCUGGUAGUCCCAGCUGUAAACGGUGGGCACUAGGUGUGGGAGGCAUCGACCCCUUCCGUGCCGCAGCUAACGCAUUAAGUGCCCCGCCUGGGGAGUACGGCCGCAAGGUUGAAACUCAAAGGAAUUGACGGGGGCCCGCACAAGCGGUGGAGCAUGUGGUUUAAUUCGAUGCAACGCGAAGAACCUUACCCAGACUUGACAUGUACCGGACAGGUGUGGAAACACACUCUCCCUUCGGGGUCGGUACACAGGUGCUGCAUGGCUGUCGUCAGCUCGUGUCGUGAGAUGUUGGGUUAAGUC